CUUUCACACCCAGACUGAGACCCAAGGGACCAAAGAUUCAUAAAAGGGUUAGUCACUGCAUAAAGGCAAAGAGGAAUCUGAAUAGCUGCCUGGUGCAACUACAAGAUAGAAAAGCACAAACAUGUACAUUAUACAUAUUAAGCCAUAAGUACCUGCAGAUACAUAUAUAUUGAAGUUUUAGAACAUGGAACAUGAAAUUACAGAAAUUCCAGAUUUUUUCCAAACCUAAAAAACUGUAGGGUCAGGUGCGAAAAAUUAAGGAUAUUAGAACAAAAUAAGAAGAAUAAUUGUCAAGUGCCCACUGAUGCUGGAGUCCAUGCUGUAGAAAAGACAUGAAACAGAAGUGAGAAAAUGUCGACAUCAGUCAUCUAUGAAGAUGGAGAUUGCCUCUAUUCUAAAAUUUCCGAGGAAAAUGGUGUUGUCUGCCUCAUCCAAUGAUCACUCCAUUUGCAGACU